UCGGGAGGGUCGGAGGUGACGAACGGCCGUUAGAUACGGACCCCACUCCCGGGCCGUGCCGAUCGUCGCGGCCUCCGAUUCCGACCGACGCAUUUCCCCCCGCAUGGCGGACGCCGCAACCGGUCGGGUAGCUGCGAGAGUCGGCCUUGGGGACGGAGAACUCAGCCGUGCGGAACGGGCGCGCUCCCGCGUCCGGCCCUCGGUAGUCCGUCCGUGGCGCGACACCCGACCGAGGUCCAGGUUCCCGAACUUCGGUUGCGGGAGCGAUGCCGUCCCCCUAACGGCGGGCGCGUCGACAGGCGACCCCGGCGGCGGCGAGUCACCCCGAGCGGUGGCCGCCCCGUCGGGAGCGUUGCUGGUCGGCGUCACUGAUGCCCGCGGUGGGACGUUGCCUCCUCCGGAGGUUUGCGGCGAGUAGGUCGGUCACCCACCCGUCCCGUCUUGAAACACGGACCAAGGAGUCUAACAUGUGCGCGAGUCACGGGGUCUUGACCAGGCCCAGGGGCGCAAUGAAAGUGAAGGCGCCGCUGCGAACGGCGGCCGCCGUGUUGGGAUCCCCCGUCCUCCGCGGCGGCGGGAGCACCAACGACCCGUCACGUCCGAUUCAUCGGUGGGACGGAGUCUGAGCGCACACGUUGGGACCCGAAAGAUGGUGAACUAUGCCUGGGCAGGACGAAGCCAGAGGAAACUCUGGUGGAGGUCCGAGCGGU
rnacentral:rRNA from 1 species